CAGAAAAGAAAAUUGAUGGAUGUUAAGGCACUAGCCAAAUUUGUGAUGUUCUACCUGGAGAAUGAUCAUAUGGUGGUUCUAUAGUAUUUGCAAGUUAUAUUGUGUUGUAGCGGAAUUUGCUAGGACUACAGUGAAGCUGCACUAGAAUGAGUGGUAAAAACAAUGUUCAAGGGGUACCUGUGUAAUAUGAGCAAAGUGUAAAGCCUCUUGGUAGAUGAGCUGUGUCUUAUUUUGAGAAUCAUCAAGAUCAGAUAAUACAACGAUGCUGAACAACUUUAGAAGAAAAGGAGGCACUAACGAGGGAACCUCAGAGCACAGCGUUCCGCAGUCUGAGGAGUUAAGACAAGAAAUGAAUGCAUGAAUGGGAGAGAUGGAAUGAAAACUGGAUCUGCCCAUCUAUUAAAAGAGUGAAAAACAGUAUUUUACAUUAUUCAUUUGAAGGGUUCAAUUACUGAUAUCUUCCCUGUCAAUUACUGUCACAAGUUUUUUUUGUUUCUCUAGCAGUGUUCAGAUAUUCAGCUCAUGAAGAAUGUACAGAAGCAUCUCUUCUUGUAAUGUAAAAAGUAGAAACAUAGGUUUGUUUCUCUGUGAUAAUUUCUGUGGUCUGACUCGUAUGAGAGGUGUCCUUCAGACUGUCUCUUCUCAGCUCUUCAGAGAAAGGUAUAAAAUAGAGACAAACAUUUGUUGCAGAAACUAAAAAGAAAACUUCCUUUUAAUUUCCACUCAGUUUGAGGAUGGUGGUACAGAUUUUGUAUCACCUUUCAGUUUCCCAGUUAACAUUUCUUCCCCACCUCAUCAGGCAGCUCUGGAAAAAUCUUCAACGUAGACAAAGUUUGCUCAACUUCUGAUCCCAAGUCAACAAAGCUAUUCCUUUGAUCCCUGGAACAUUCUCACAGCCUACUAAGCUAGGUUUCCAACUUCGUGAGUUAAAAUAGAACCCUAAUUUAAAAGUCACAUAUACUGGAUACUGCCUAAACCCAGUGUCUAUGAAGGACUAUUAUUGAAUGAAAAGUCAGAGACAAACUUUAAAGAUCACGUUCUAAAUCUAAGUUUACCUUUGGAGGAAAUAGCAUUUUGUUAUGCAAAUAGCAUCAAGAUUAACCUGAUCUGUAUGCCCAAAGAACAUGCAAAGGCUCAUUUUAUCAGUGUUGGCAAAAGUUUUGCAAUAACUGAUCCUAAGCAAAUAUACAUUUUUGUAUUAAUCUGGAUUGUACUUUGUGUGAAUGACAAAACAUAAUAUUUUUAAAGUUCAU